UUUAGAAAGAUGCGUUUGUUGUCUGCAUGCUUCAUUGCAACAGCCCUGCCACACUAGGAGGAAGACAGGUUUUGGGUCCUGUCUUGGUGAUAAAGGUAAAACUAAAGGACAAUCAAAUCUCAUCAAACUUCUCUCUGAGGAGCUGAUGACGUUUCAGAAACAGUGACAAAGUUCAGAAUCCCAUUCUUCCAUCCUAGAUGGGAAACAUCAACUUUCCUGAUGGAAAGGCCAUGUGAAAACAUGGCGAGAAGACAGUCAUCUGCAACCCAAGGAGAGAGACUUCACCAGACACUGACCCUGCUGGCACCUUGAUCUUGGACUUCCAGUGUUCAGAACUAUGAGAAAUAAAUUCCUGUUAUGUAAGGUGCCCAGUCCAUGGUAUUUUGUUGUAACAGCCUGAGCUGUUGAAGAU